rnacentral:rRNA from 1 species
GCCUGAUCCAGCCAUACCGCGUGGGUGAAGAAGGCCUUCGGGUUGUAAAGCCCUUUUGUUGGGAAAGAAAUCCAGCCGGUUAAUACCUGGUUGGGAUGACGGUACCCAAAGAAUAAGCACCGGCUAACUUCGUGCCAGCAGCCGCGGUAAUACGAAGGGUGCAAGCGUUACUCGGAAUUACUGGGCGUAAAGCGUGCGUAGGUGGUUGUUUAAGUCUGUUGUGAAAGCCCUGGGCUCAACCUGGGAACUGCAGUGGAAACUGGACGACUAGAGUGUGGUAGAGGGUAGCGGAAUUCCUGGUGUAGCAGUGAAAUGCGUAGAGAUCAGGAGGAACAUCCAUGGCGAAGGCAGCUACCUGGACCAACACUGACACUGAGGCACGAAAGCGUGGGGAGCAAACAGGAUUAGAUACCCUGGUAGUCCACGCCCUAAACGAUGCGAACUGGAUGUUGGGUGCAAUUUGGCACGCAGUAUCGAAGCUAACGCGUUAAGUUCGCCGCCUGGGGAGUACGGUCGCAAGACUGAAACUCAAAGGAAUUGACGGGGGCCCGCACAAGCGGUGGAGUAUGUGGUUUAAUUCGAUGCAACGCGAAGAACCUUACCUGGCCUUGACAUGUCGAGAACUUUCCAGAG